UACGAUUCGCCUUGAGUUGAGCAUGGCUCAGGACAACGCUGGCGGCGUGCCUAAUACAUGCAAGUCGAGCGGGAACCUCGGGAGGGGUAAACCCUUCCGGGGGGAGAGCGGCGAACGGGUGAGUAACACGUGGGCAACCUGCCCCGGACACCGGGAUAACUCAGGGAAACCUGGGCUAAUACCGGAUACCUCGGCGUGAUCGCAUGGUCGUGCCGGGAAAGCUCCGACGGUCCGGGAUGGGCCCGCGGCCUAUCAGCUUGUUGGUGGGGUAACGGCCUACCAAGGCGGCGACGGGUAGCUGGUCUGAGAGGACGGCCAGCCACACUGGGACUGAGACACGGCCCAGACUCCUACGGGAGGCAGCAGUAGGGAAUCUUGCGCUAAUGCGCGAAAGCGUGACGCAGCGACGCCGCGUGCGGGAUGAAGGCCCUCGGGUCGUAAACCGCUUUCGGCAGGGGCGAAGCGAAAGUGACGGUACCUGCAGAAGAAGUCCCGGCUAACUACGUGCCAGCAGCCGCGGUAACACGUAGGGGACGAGCGUUGUCCGGAUUUAUUGGGCGUAAAGAGCGCGUAGGCGGCUCGGAAAGUCGGCCGUGAAAU
rnacentral:rRNA from 1 species